rnacentral:rRNA from 1 species
GUCUACGGCCAUGCCACCCUGAACAAGCCCAAUCUCGUCUGAUCUUGGAAGCUAAGCAGGGUCAGGCCUGGUUAGUACUUGGAUAGGAGACCACCUAGGAAAACCAGGUGCUGUAGGCA